GAUGAACGCUGGCGGCGUGCCUAAUACAUGCAAGUCGAGCGAACGGACGAGAAGCUUGCUUCUCUGAUGUUAGCGGCGGACGGGUGAGUAACACGUGGAUAACCUACCUAUAAGACUGGGAUAACUUCGGGAAACCGGAGCUAAUACCGGAUAAUAUUUUGAACCGCAUGGUUCAAAAGUGAAAGACGGUCUUGCUGUCACUUCUAGAUGGAUCCGCGCUGCAUUAGCUAGUUGGUAAGGUAACGGCAUACCAAGGCAACGAUGCAUAACCGACCUGAGAGGGUGGUCGGCCACACUAGAACUGGAAAACGGUCCAGACUCCUAAGGGAGGCAACAGUAGGGAAACUUCCGCAAUGGGCGGAAACCUGACGGAACAACCGCGCGUGAGUGAUGAAGGUCUUCGGAUCGUAAAAAUCUGUUAUUAGGGAAGAACAUAUGUGUAAGUAACUGUGCACAUCUUGACGGUACCUAAUCAGAAAGCCACGGCUAACUACGUG
rnacentral:rRNA from 1 species